GGUAAGUGUGUCUCGGGUGAGCAUGCAAUGAACGUGCUCGCAUGUCACUCGGCCCACUACC
rnacentral:pre_miRNA from 1 species